AAAUCCUGUGACUCAAUCACAGAACUGCCUUCAAAACUGCAUAGCUUGAAGCCAGAAGAGGAAAGCGGAAUUCCCGGUGUAAGGGUGAAAAUCUGUUAGAUAUCGGGAGGAACACCAGUGGCGAAAGCGGCUUUCUGGUCUGGCCUUGACGCUAAUCUGCGAAAGCUAGGGGAGCAAACAGGAUUAGAUACCCUGGUAGUCCUAGCCGUAAACGAGAGCAC
rnacentral:rRNA from 1 species